UGUUACAUUUCCGUAACUGCGAAUGGCUCAUUAAAUCAGUUAUCGUUUAUUUGAUAGUACCUUACUACUUGGAUAACCGUGGUAAUUCUAGAGCUAAUACAUGCUAAAAACCCCAACUUCGGGAGGGGUGUAUUUAUUAGAUAAAAAACCAAUGCCCUUCGGGGCUCUUUGGUGAUUCAUGAUAACUUAACGGAUCGCAUGGCCUUGCGCCGGCGACGGUUCAUUCAAAUUUCUGCCCUAUCAACUUUCGAUGGUAAGGUAUUGGCUUACCAUGGUUUCAACGGGUAACGGGGAAUUAGGGUUCGAUUCCGGAGAGGGAGCCUGAGAAACGGCUACCACAUCCAAGGAAGGCAGCAGGCGCGCAAAUUACCCAAUCCCGACACGGGGAGGUAGUGACAAUAAAUACUGAUACAGGGCUCUUUUGGGUCUUGUAAUUGGAAUGAGUACAAUUUAAACCCCUUAACGAGGAACAAUUGGAGGGCAAGUCUGGUGCCAGCAGCCGCGGUAAUUCCAGCUCCAAUAGCGUAUAUUAAAGUUGUUGCAGUUAAAAAGCUCGUAGUUGAAACUUGGGCCUGGCUGGCCGGUCCGCCUCACCGCGUGUACUGGUCCGGCCGGGCCUUUCCUUCUGGAGAGCCUCAUGCCCUUCACUGGGUGUUGUUGGGGAACCAGGACUUUUACUUUGAAAAAAUUAGAGUGUUCAAAGCAGGCCUUUGCUCGAAUACGUUAGCAUGGAAUAAUAGAAUAGGACGUGCGAUCCUAUUUUUGUUGGUUUCUAGGACCGCCGUAAUGAUUAAUAGGGAUAGUCGGGGGCAUCAGUAUUCAAUUGUCAGAGGUGAAAUUCUUGGAUUUAUUGAAGACUAACUACUGCGAAAGCAUUUGCCAAGGAUGUUUUCAUUAAUCAGUGAACGAAAGUUAGGGGGAUCGAAGACGAUCAGAUAACCGUCGUAGUCUUAACCGAAACUAUGCCGACUAGGGAUCGGGCGAUGGUAUUAUUUUGACUCGCUCGGCACUUACAAAAACAAAAUUUUUGGGUUUGGGGGGAGAAUGGUCCCAAGUG
rnacentral:rRNA from 1 species